rnacentral:rRNA from 1 species
AUUGAACGCUAGCGGCAUGCCUUACACAUGCAAGUCGAACGGCAGCACGGGGGCAACCCUGGUGGCGAGUGGCGAACGGGUGAGUAAUGCAUCGGAACGUGCCCAUCGAUGGGGGAUAACUGCGCGAAAGCGUUGCUAAUACCGCAUACGACCUACGGGUGAAAGCAGGGGACCGCAAGGCCUUGCGUCGAUGGAGCGGCCGAUGCCGGAUUAGCUAGUUGGUGAGGUAGAGGCUCACCAAGGCGACGAUCCGUAGCUGGUCUGAGAGGACGACCCAGCCACACUGGGACUGAGACACGGCCCAGACUCCUACGGGAGGCAGCAGUGGGGAAUAUUGGACAAUGGGCGAAAGCCUGAUCCAGCAAUGCCGCGUGUGUGAAGAAGGCCUGCGGGUUGUAAAGCACUUUCAGUAGGGAAGAAAAGCCUAAGGUUAAUACCCUUGAGUCUUGACGUUACCUACAGAAGAAGCACCGGCUAACUCCGUG